UAAAUAGCUAAAUUUUAAGUUUAUUAUUUACAAUAAUAAGAUGUUUUAAAUAACUUUAUUUA
rnacentral:tRNA from 1 species